UCGAACAGGGUGAGGUAGUAGGUUGUGUGGUUUCGGGGUAGUGAUUUUGCCCGAUCAGAAGAUAACUAUACAACAUACUGCCUUCCCUGAAGGG
ensembl:miRNA